rnacentral:rRNA from 1 species
CUACGGGGGGUGCAAGCGUUAUUCGGAUUUAUCGGGCGUAAAGGGCGCGUAGGCGGCUUGGUAAGUCAGAUGUGAAAGCCCGGGGCUUAACCCCGGAAGUGCAUUUGAAACUAUCAGGCUUGAGUAUGGGAGAGGGAAGUGGAAUUCCUGGUGUAGAGGUGAAAUUCGUAGAUAUCAGGAGGAACACCGGUGGCGAAGGCGACUUCCUGGACCAAUACUGACGCUGAGGCGCGAAGGCGUGGGGAGCAAACGGGAUUAGAAACCCCGGUAGUCC